rnacentral:rRNA from 1 species
CCCGGCGACCGGCGCACGGGUGAGUAACGCGUAUGCAACCUGCCCGUUUCAGCGGGAUAACCCGGAGAAAUCCGGCCCAAUACCGCAUGUGGCCGAGGGGAGGCAUCUUCUUUCGGCCAAAGGAGGCGACUCCGGAGACGGAUGGGCAUGCGUGACAUUAGCUUGUUGGCGGGGUAACGGCCCACCAAGGCGACGAUGUCUAGGGGUUCUGAGAGGAAGGUCCCCCACACUGGUACUGAGACACGGACCAGACUCCUACGGGAGGCAGCAG